GGCAUGCCUAUCUAUACUCGUGGAUCUAGAGAGACCUAUCAGAGAUUCUGGGCAUCUGUCAAAGAAAUGUAGGCUGGUGAAGUUUGCAGUUUUCAUCCUGGUUUCUGUAUCUACAGGCUAUGGUGUUGUGAAGACAAGGUACCACAUGUGCAGCUGUGAAUAAGUCUGAGAAGGCUGACUUCUUGGAUUUCUGAAGCAUUACUAAGUGAUCCAGAGGAAAUCAGCACCCCCUGCUCAGCAGAGCUCUGGGAAUGCUGACACUCUUGCUUCAUGUUUAUAUUAACCUAGGUCAAAAGAUCACCUGUCAGGGUCUCCGGGGAAGGCAUCAUCCCAACCUUCCAGCAUCAGUGUGCAAGUGCAACAGAUUAAGAAGUUUGUAGAAAUUGACUAAGGAGCUCCAGAAGAUGACAUGUGAGUUGGAAAAUUCUCGUGCAUAGGUAACCAUUGCACCAACAGCAUUUGAAGAGAAGUAGUCAUUGUACCCACUUCUUUGUAGACAGUCCUGACCCCUGUGUGAUAACCUCAGUUUUCUCAGACCACAGGAAAAUGCAACUGUAAUGUCCUCAUGUACAAAUUAAUUUUCUUAUGUUCCUCUCAGAAUCACAACAUAAAGAAAGGAUAGUAGUGUGA